rnacentral:rRNA from 1 species
UACGUAGGGGGCAAGCGUUGUCCGGAUUUAUUGGGCGUAAAGAGCGUGUAGGCGGCCUGACAGGUCUGCUGUGAAAUCUCGAGGCUCAACUUCGAGCUGUCGGUGGAAACUGUCUGGCUAGAGUCCGGAAGAGGAGAAUGGAAUUCCUGGUGUAGCGGUGAAAUGCGCAGAUAUCAGGAAGAACACCCGUGGCGAAGGCGGUUCUCUGGGACGGUACUGACGCUGAGACGCGAAAGCGUGGGGAGCGAACAGG